UACGUAGGUGGCAAGCGUUGUCCGGAUUUAUUGGGUUUAAAGGGUGCGUAGGCGGUGGCUUAAGUCAGUUGUGAAAUACGGCAGCUUAACUGUCGAGGUGCAAUUGAUACUGGGACACUUGAGUACUGAUGAGGUAAGCGGAAUGGACGGUGUAGCGGUGAAAUGCUUAGAUAUCGUCCAGAACACCGAUAGCGAAGGCAGCUUACUAAGGAGUAACUGACGCUGAGGCACGAAAGUGUGGGGAUCAAACAGG
rnacentral:rRNA from 1 species